UGGGGAAUAUUGGACAAUGGGCGAAAGCCUGAUCCAGCAAUGCCGCGUGGGUGAAGAAGGUCUUCGGAUUGUAAAGCCCUUUCGGCGGGGACGAUGAUGACGGUACCCGCAGAAGAAGCCCCGGCUAACUUCGUGCCAGCAGCCGCGGUAAUACGAAGGGGGCUAGCGUUGCUCGGAAUGACUGGGCGUAAAGGGCGCGUAGGCGGCGCACUUAGUCGGGCGUGAAAGUCCUGGGCUCAACCUGGGGACGGCGCUCGAUACGGGUGUGCUUGAGUGUGGAAGAGGGUUGUGGAAUUCCCAGUGUGGAGGUGAAAUUCGUAGAUAUUGGGAAGAACACCGGUGGCGAAGGCGGCAACCUGGUCCAUUACUGACGCUGAGGCGCGAAAGCGUGGGGAGCAAACA
rnacentral:rRNA from 1 species